AGAAGGAACCUCCGAGAGGAACGAAGAAGUUCGGGGAAGAGGACGGGUCCGGGUGAAUUUCUUCCUGCGGCCGCCUGCGUGUUCUGGAGGGGUCGGGACACUCAAGCCACUGGAGCCCCGGCAGAAAGGGACCCGAGGGCGCUCGGGCGGGGGCGGUGCUGCCACCCGCUGCUUGUCCUUGGGAAUGUGGUUCGUCCGCUCGGCUGACCCUCGGCCCUUCUGGGGCCCCGGGGUGGCCGAGGUGUUUGGCCCCCGGGCGGUGAGACCCGAGGUCACUGCCGCACUUGCUGGGAUGGGUUCCGGGGGUCGUGGAGGCGAAGGGUUCACGAGGCUGAGGGGCAGUGCGCAGGGUUGGACCUGCCCAGGCGCUAGGUUCCGUGCCGCCCUAGUCCAAGGGCCUGGCCCGGGUCGGGUGCCGGAUGCCCUUUGCUCUGGCGCAGGCUCCUAGAGGCCGGCCCGGCGCCUGGCUGAGUCCCACUCUUCCCCGGGGAGGUGGCCGAACUCCUGAGACCGGUCGGGGGAGCUGUGCCUGGCGCGCGGGCUGCGGCUUCUGGCCUGGAGCGGAGGCGAGCGCCGCCCUGGGCGACAAAGAGGCGGGGCGAGGCCACCUGUCAGCGCUUAGGCGUCGCCAGGCCUCGCAACCUUCACCUGGAUCUGGAGAGUGCGCAGGGCCGCGGCCACACCGGGGCUUCAGGUCCUUGCCGCGCGAGAGGCGAGGAGGGCGCAGCGCAGAGGCUGAGUGGCGCAGGGUGGGCUGCGAAAGUGCCUCUGCUAGUCUUGAAAGUAAAGGUUUGGUUAAAAAUACCCUAAACCCUAAAAACCUCUGUACCUCCUGAUAUGGGUUGAAUAUUCGCAAGAAGGACUGGAUGACUAAAUCUGGGCUAUCUCCGUGAUUUCAGAGGAAACACUGCUCCCUCCAGCAACUUGAGGCUUUGUUUAUACGGGAGUAAUUCUGAGAAGGCAGUGAAACGCGUGUUUCAGACCCAGCCUUUCCUACUCCUGCUAAUCCACUGUUUUGAAGAGAAAGUAUCUGAGAUAUUAUUCCACUAAUUAACACUUUUGUUUUCCAACUCCGGCAUAUGUCCCUGGAAUUUAAAUGCUUUCUUCCCUUCCUCCUCAAAUUUAGUUUCUGCAGCGUAUAGUUCGUUUCAGACACGUGAUAGCACCUAACCAUCUGUUAGGGUUUUUGAAAGGUCUUGUCGAGGUCGAGCUGCAAAAAUGUGGAUUUUUUAAAAGUUAAUUAUUAACCAGACAGGUGAGGUAUCCGCUUAAUUUAAUGAAUAUUUUGCCCUAUUUAGAAAACAGGAAACCUGAAGUCAGUGUUUUAUUUUUGUUUUGUUUUGUUACUGUAGAGGCAGAAAGGCUUGAUAGAUUUUCUCCAAGAGAUUACUAUGAAUUAGCUAAUUCUUAGUAAUAACUUAUAUCAGGAAAUAGGGAGGAUUAGAGAGUAUGGUCUACUUCGGUAUAUACCUUGCUAUAAAUUGUAGGCAAAGCAGAUGUCGUUCUAGGGCUUUUGGAAGCUCCCAAGAGUGAAUUUUUUUUAAAAGAAAGUGAAAAAACCAGAAAUUUCAUUAACAUGUAUUUUCACCUGCAGCUUACUAAAGGUAUAGUAAAACUAAAAACAAAACAACAAAAAAAAAAAACAAAACUUAAGCUGGUGAAUGAAAAUACUGCCAUCUACUGGAAAAGUGUAGUUCUUACACCAGCCUUUGACCUAGGAAAAGACAUUGAUUUAUCUCAUUUUUGAAUUCUUACUGUUCAGGACACUCUAAGACAUAUAAAGUUGAGCAUGACAUGAGCUGUCAGUACUCUUGUAUUUGUGUGUUAACAAUUCCUUUCCUCUGGGCAAAGGAAAGGGAGUAUAAAUAAAACCCAGGGAUGUGGCCUCACUCUUCCCCAGAGUGAAGUCAUCACUCUAAAGGAAAAAAAAAAUACAUUCAUUAAAUAUAAGGUAUUGUAUUAAGUGUGGAUUUUUCCUAUGUCAACCUGGACCCAGUAUUAUUGAUAAAUAAGAAGUGCCUAACACUUACUAUAUAGUCACAUCACUUGAAAAAUGAAUGAAAAUAUCCUUUCAUUAGAAGAGAUAUUACUAUGUCUAUGUUCACUGUAUUCCUAUUUAUUCAUUUGAAAAAUACUUAUUGUGUCACCUUGUGCCAGGCACUGGGUUAGGCAAUAAGUACCCUGAGUAUUCUGAGUACCAAGUACAGGCACUGAAUACACGAUGGGGUACUAACCAAGAGAUACUUUAUAUGAAUAAAACACAGAUCAGAUUAUCAUGAAUUAACAUUCCCAACAUUAUUUUGCUUUUCUCCUCCUUAGAAUCUGGGAAGGGAAGAAAUUGUUUUCUGAGUGAAUAAUACUUUUGAUCAAAUAAUUAAAAUGUUCAGAUGUUCCAAAGAUUACUAAUUCUAGAUAAAUCAUUGACAUAUUUAUAAAUCACUGUUUAAGAGGAUGCCUGGGUAUUAUUUGCAUAAAUAAGAAAUCCCAGAGAUUUCAUGUUUAUUUUAAAUUUAUAUUUCUUCUAGAAUAAUCUAAAACAAAAGAAAUGCAUUAGAUAUAAAAACAGAGCUGUAAGCUUUAAUUAUUUGCUUUAUAAAUGAGCAAAAGUAUUAAAAUCUCUACAUAAAGGUAAAUGACAAUGGAUAAUUGCCAUUCAUUUAAUCAUUUGAUAAAUAUAUAUUGAAUACUUGUUCUGGGCCAAGUCCUCAAGAUAAAAUAUUAAGACAUUUGGUAUUUUUUAUCUAACACAAAAGCCCAUAUAGCAAACAUAUAUAUGAUUAUAUUAUAUAGCAAGAAAAUAUAUAAAUAAAAUUUCAUAUAUUCAUUACACAUUUUAAAUGCAUAUAUAUGCCAUAGGAAAAUGUGUGAAAAGAUUUACACCAAAAUGGUAACUAAUGGUGAUCUUCUCUGCAUGAUAGGAUUUCUGAGUAUUGUUGUCUUGUUUCUCCAUAUUUUCUAACUUUUCUACUGUGAGUAAGAAAACUAAAACCAAAACACUACGUGAGUUCAGGCCUACUGUCUAAAACUUAAUUUUAAAAGAAACUAAAGAAACUCUACUAUAAAAUUUAGGUCUAUAACUCCCAAGAAUUGUUUGAGCCUGUAUCACUUCCUACCUAGGUCUUAUCCUAGACUCAGUAGUGGGUCUCCCUUCCUCACUUCUGAUCUCUCCACUCUCUAGCUCAGACAUUUUCUGUGGUUUCUGAAUAGACACUGAAUACAUUCCAGACUAUUUGGGCUGGCAUACAAAGACUCCAGGAUUCGGCCACUGUCUGCCCUUCUGCACGUCUCUUCUACAUUUCAUUCACUGAUUCAUUCACAGAAAGUAUUUGUUGAGUAUAAAUCACUGUGCUAGGCAAUUAGAAGAGACAAAGGUAGAAGAAGAACCAUGCUCUCUUCAACCUCCAGUGUGUAGCAUAAAUUAUGUUCUUGGCACGUGCGUGCACACACCCACACUUCACAAAAACGUACAAUGUGAAGUGGGUCUGAGGGGAGGCAACACAGUGUUGAGAGAGAUAAGAAGAGGUAGCAAUUCUGCUAGAAAAUUAAGGAAGACACUGUGGCUCUGUUGCCUUUUGAGCUGGUGUUCAUUGGAUAAAUAGUUUCAACACAGAUAGGCAAAAUUUUAAACAUUUAGGACACCCUAUGGGGACCAGGAUAUCUAGAUAUUGUUUGUAUCAAGAAAGCAUCCUGAGGACUCCGUGUUCGUGUAUCUUAAGUUCAUAUUUCUUCUAGCAGUUAUAAGUAAAACAAGGGAAGGAAAUGCAGGUCUUCCCAGACUUUGCUGUACGCUAGUGGAAAGUGAUCCUCCAGUAACCGCAUCUACUGAAUGAGCUAUUAUGUAUCCUUUUUCAGAUUACCUGAGAAUGCAAUUUUUAGGACUCUACCCCACUGAAGUAAAAGCACCAUUGCUAUAAGAUAAAGUAUACUAAAAUAUAAGUAUAAAUACAAAAAUGUUAAUUUUAGCAGUUUGUAAUAGCAAAAUGCUAGAAUAUCUAUCUGCAGGGCAAUGAGCAAAUAAAGUAUUAAACUGCCAUACUGCGAACUUUAUGCCCUUUUUAAAAAAUAUAUAUAUAUUUUAGAGACAGGGUUCACUAUGUUGCUCAGGCUGGUCUCAAAACUCCUGGGCUCAAGCGAUCCUCUCAAAGUGCUGAGAUUAUAAGCGUGAGCCACCUCACCCAGCCUUAUGCACUUAUUUUUUAAAAUAAGUUCUACUUCACCUGUAAUCCCAGCACUUUGGGAGGUCAAGGUGGGUGGAUCAUGAGGUCAGGAGUUUGAGACCAGCCUGGCCAACAUGGUGAAACCCUGUCUCUACUAAAAAUACAAAAAUUAGCCGGGCGUGGUGGCGAGCACCUGUAAUCCCAGCUACUCGGGAGGCUGAGGCAGGAGAAUCGCUUGAACCCAGGAGGCAGAGGUUGCAGUGAGCCGAGAUUGCGAGAUUGCAUCACUGCACUCCAGCCUGGGCGACAGAGCAAGACUCCGUGUCAAAAAAAAAAAAAAAAGUUAUACUUGAGUAAAAUGCAUCAAAAUAUAAUAGACUGAUGGAUAGAGAAAUAGAUAACGUGAUAAAAAACAAAUACAGCAAAAUGUUAAUUGUAGUAUAUAGGUGGUGAGGAUAUAGGUGCUCACUGUUUAAUUCUUCCAAAUUUUCUGUAUGUUUGAAAAUGUUUAUAAUAAAUUAUUGGAGAUAAAAAGGAAUGAUUCGAGUUUACAUGUAUUGGCCUAGAAAGAUACGUUUUAAAAGUGUCUUUAGUAUAAUUGUAUUUUUGUGGUUUAAGAAGGCUGGCUCUAGAGCAAGAGUCCUGAGUCUUCAAGCCUAGUGCUCCAUCAUUUACCAGCCCUGUGACCUUUCUCACGCCACUCCCACUCUAUGGUUUAGUGUUACUGAUAACAAACCUACCUCGUUGUUAUUAUGAGGAGUAAACAAAUAAUACACUUGAUUUCUUAAAACAGUACCAGGCAUGUAGCAAGUAUUCAAUAUAUAGUAUUAUUAGCUGUGAUUGAGAGGAAAAAAGAGAGCAUGUUGGGUGGGAAGGAGAA
rnacentral:lncRNA from 1 species